GACGAACGCUGGCGGCGUGCUUAACACAUGCAAGUCGAACGGAAAGGCCCUGACAUUGCGGGGUGCGCGAGUGGCGAAGGGGUGAGUAACACGUGAGUAAAGUGACCUGGACUUUGGGAUAACUUGAGGAAACUGGGGCUAAGACAGGAUAGGAGCACCAGCUGCAAGGAGGGGGAUGGAAAAUGUCGGCGGGGUGGGAUGGACUGGCGGCUAAUCAGAUUUGUGGUGGGGUAGGGGCUUAGCAAGGCUAAGACGGGAAGCCGGCCUGGGAGGGUGACCGGCACCGUUGCGACUGAGAUACGGCCCAGACUACUACGGGAGGCAGCAGUGGGGAAUAUUGCACAAUGGGCGGAAGCCUGAUCCAGCACCGCCGCGUGCGGGAUGACGGCCUUCGGGUUGUAAACCGCUUUCGCCUGUGACGAAGCGUGAGUGACGGUAAUGGGUAAAGAAGCACCGGCUAACUACGUG
rnacentral:rRNA from 1 species